ensembl:lncRNA
AGUUACAGUAAUCCACUUAGCUUGCCUUCACAUGAAAGAAUGAAUGAGAAUGUUGGAUUCGGUCACGUUCCAAAGCGUAUUUUUUUUUAUAAAUAAAAGUAUUACUCAGAACAACAUUAUUGGGAGGGACACUUUAACCCGUUUCUAAUAUUGAGCGGGACAUGUCUCCCCCGGCUCCUACGCCCUUGCCUGUUCCCAAGAUACAUUUAGUGUAGAAGUGUUCCUGGUUUGACGGUGGAUGGAUCAGUCUUCAGCAGGGUCACAUCAGAGAUGUUCUUUUCCUUGGCUCUUUUGCAUUUACUGACCCCAGAUGCCUCAUCCAGCUCCCCUGUGGGACUCUUUCUUUUACCCUGCUGCUUCUGUGGGAUUAACCUGGGGUCAUUGGAAGCCCAGAUCCUGGAAACCGCUUUGGAUGUCUUGGGCUGAUUCACCUUCUCUGCAAGAAAACGGUCCUUCAGCUGCAGCCAGGGAAGAUAGGACACCUGACCACCUUUUGCACUGUCCUCUACAUGAAGAACAGCACUCUGGGACAGUUGAGUCAGGUUUGGACUCCUCACAGCCUUCUGAACUGAGCUCUGACCAUUACUGAACUCAUUGCUGCCAGACGUAUUCACUGACAUCCCAGCUAGCCUCUUUCUCUCUAAAUGCUGUUUAUAGGUCUUGGUUUGUCUCACCAUCUGUUCGGCUGGAAAACAUAUCUUCAACAGCCGCCAAGGGAGAUAGGAUGUGACCUGAAAUGUGUGGAGAGUCCGUUGAUUUAAGGACUCAAUGCUUAAUGGCAAAGCUGACAUUUAUGUUUAGG